UACGUAGGUGACCAGCGUUGUCCGGAUUUACUGGGCGUAAAGAGCGCGCAGGCGGUCGUUCAAGUCGGGUGUGAAAGCCCUCAGCUCAACUGGGGAGGGUCACGCGAUACUGAUCGACUCGAAGGCAGGAGAGGGAAGUGGAAUUCCCGGUGUAGUGGUGAAAUGCGUAGAUAUCGGGAGGAAUACCGGUGGCGAAGGCGGCAUCCUGGACCGACAUUGACGCUGAUGAGCGAAAGCUAGGGGAGCAAACGGG
rnacentral:rRNA from 1 species